rnacentral:rRNA from 1 species
CCUACGGGUGGCAGCAGUGAGGAAUAUUGGUCAAUGGACGAGAGUCUGAACCAGCCAAGCCGCGUGAAGGAUGAAUGUCCAACGGGUCGUAAACCUCUUUUAUAUGGGAACAAAGUUCAGUACGCAUACUGUUCUGCAUGUACCAUAUGAAAAAGCAUCGGCUAACUCCGUGCCAGCAGCCGCGGUAAUACGGAGGAUCCGAGCGUUAUCCGGAUUUAUUGGGUUUAAAGGGGGGGCAGGCGGACCGUUAAGUCAGCGGUAAAAGCUCGGGGCUCAACCUCGAAGAGCCGUUGAAACUGGGGGUCUGGAGUGCGGCAGAGGUAGGCGGAAUGCGUGGUGUAGCGGUGAAAUGCUUAGAUAUCGCGCAGAACUCCGAUUGCGAAGGCAGCGUACUGGACUGUAACUGACGCUGAGGCACGAAAGUGUGGGUAUCGAACAGGAUUAGAUACCCGUGUAGUC